rnacentral:rRNA from 1 species
AGUUCGAUUAUGGCUCAGAUUGAACGCUGGCGGGAUGCGCUACACAUGCAAGUCAGACGGCGGCACGGACUUCGGUCUGAUGGCGGAGUGGCGAACGGUGGGUAAUGUAUCGGAACGUGCCUAGUAGCGAGGGGGAUAACUACGCGAAAGCGUAGCUAAUACCAUACGCCCUUCGAGGAAGCGGGGACCUUCGGGCCUGCUUUAUUAGAACGGCCGAUAUCGGAUUAGCUAGUUGGUGAAUGACGGCUCGCAAGGCGACGAUCCGUACAGCUGGUUUGAAGGACGACCAGCCACACUGGGACUGGUGCGGCCCAGACUCCUACGGGAGGUAGCGGUGAAAUUUUGGACAAUGGAAACCUGAUCCAGCCAUCCCGCGUGCGAUGAAGGCCUUCGGGUUGUAAAGCACUUUUGGCGGGAAAAAGCAGCGCAGGGAUAAUACCCCGUGCAACUGGUAUUACCUGCAGAAUAAGCACCGGCUAACUACGUGCCAGCAGCCGCGGUAAUACAUCAGGGUGCAAGCGUUAAUCGAAUUACUGGGCGUAAAGCGUGCGCAGGCCACGGUUCGAAAGAUGUAAAUCCCAGAGCUUAACUUUGGAACUGCAUUUUUAACUGCCGAGCUAGAGUGUGUCAGAGAGGAGGUGAGUUACGCGUGUAGCAGUGAAAUGCGUAGAUUAAUGGAGGAACACCGAUGGCGAAGGCAGCCUCUGGGAUAACCUGACGCUCAUGCACGAAAGCGUGAGGCAAACAGGACAGAUACCCUGGUAGUCCACGCCCUAAACGUCAACUAGCUGUUGGAGACCUUCAGGCCUUGGUGGCCGCAGCUAACGCGUGAAGUUGACCGCCUGGAGUACGGUCGCAAUUAAAACUCAAAGGAAUUGGUAGGGGACCGCACAAGCGGUGGAUGAUGGAUUAAUUCGAUGCACAACGCGAGCCUUACUACCUUGACAUGUCUGGAAUCGAAGAGAUUUGAGGGAGUGCUCUACCGAGCCGGAACACAGGUGCUGCAUGGCUGUCGUCAGCUCGUGUCGUGAGAUGUUGGGUUAAGUCCCACAGCGAGCGCAACCCUUGUCAUUAGUUGCUACGAAGGGCACUCUAAUGAGACUGCCGGUGACAAACCGGAGGGAAGGUGGGGAUGACGUCAAGUCCUCAUAGCCCCUUAUGGACUGAGGCUUCACACGUCAUACAAUGGUCGGGACCGGAGGUCGCCAACCCUUGAGAGGCCAAUCCCAGAAACCCGAUCGUAGUCGGAUCCUGGUCUGAAACUCGACUGCCAUUGAAGUCGAAUCCCUUUAAAGCAAUCGCGGAUCAGCAUGUCGCGGUGAAUACGUUCCAGCAUGCCUACCGCCGGAAUACCAUGGGGUGGGUUUUACCAGAAGUAGUUAGCAGCCCUAACUGUGGGAGGGGGCGAUUACCGUGGGAUUCAUGACUGGGGUGAAGUCGCGCUCAAGUA